GACGAACCGUGCGAACGUUAUUCGGAAUCACUGGGCUUAAAGCGCGUGUAGGCGGGACGGCACGUCGGUCGCUGAAAUCCCCCGGCUUAACCGGGGAACGGGCGCCGAUACGACCGUCCUGGAGGGACGUAGGGGGACCUGGAACUUCCGGUGGAGCGGUGAAAUGCGUUGAGAUCGGAAAGAACACCAACGGCGAAAGCACUCUGCUGGGCCGACACUGACACUG
rnacentral:rRNA from 1 species